UGAUGUGGCUGUGUCCCUGUAGUUGGCCGUUUUUAUCGAGUUGUUUAACUAUUAUCACAACCCAAUUUUAAAACCUUCCGGUUGCCUCUUGCCCAUGUGCAGUCCACUCCCUUUACCCCUCCAGUCCCUGGAAACCGUUAUUCUACUUUAUAGGCUCAUAUAAUUUAGGUUUUUGUGCUGCUGAGAGAACUCAAGUACAGCUCGAUGUCUCUCCCCAGCUAGGUCGACACACGCCUCAUCCACCUUGGACUUGUGUUCUUCUGCCGUAAACCAAGGUGUCUUGGAAACCCCAGUUGAACCGUCUCACUGAGGAUUCCUGAUGGAGUAAAGCCACAUCCUCGAAGCAACCAACAUACCCCAUAAAUGAGCUCAUGUCCUCCUCAUCUACAGCGGUACCAGCUAUGUGGUGAGUGGUUUUGUUCUGCCACUGGCUCCUGCCAUGAUGUGCUGCACAGGUGCCAAGCAGUGGGGCCAACCAACUCACCAUGCACCUCCCAAACUGAGCCAGAAUAAGCCUUGCUCUUGGUGUGCCCCCCAAAAGUCUCUUGCCUGGAUCCUGCCCCGAUCAGCCGUGUGACUCUGGAUCAGCCGUUUUGCUUCAACAGGCUCCAGCUCCUUCAUCUGGGAAGGAAGGUGUUGGGCCAUGUGGGGCGAAGGCCUCUGGAGACGGAUUUGAUUCUCCAAAUCUUUUUUCGAUUCAUUAUUUAGACAGUUGGUCACUUCUGCUCAUCGAAGCCGCCGGGGGAGCGAGGAAGGCCAGCUGGUGGCGAAUGGCUGCCCCAAUGUUUUGUUGCCUGGCUGGCAUCCUUUUGAAGAGGAGACUAGGACAGAGACACACACAGAGGGACACCACCAUCUACAAGCCAGGGACAGAGAAACCCGCCUGCUGAUGCUUGAUCUCAGACUUGCAGCCCCCAGAAUGGAAAGGAAACACCUGCCACCCUCCACGGCCACCCAGGCUGAGCGCUUUGCUAUGACGUUCCUGGGGCCGAGCGCCAGCCUCACCAGAGCUCUGCCCUCCCGCCGCCCCGCUUCUCCUGGAGUGUCCUGACUCUGCCUCCCUAGGGGAUCUCACUUUGACUCCGUUGUUUUCAUCUGUCCUGUCGUUCUCCUUCUUUUCCUUUGGAUUUGUCUCAGAGCUGGAAUAAUUCUGUAGAGAAAACUCCCCUCACCACCUUUGGUUACCGGGAAGUCCUAUUUGUGUAGGAAAAGUGGAAUAAAAGUGCCCGACUCGCCCUCCGCCUUUGCCAUCUUCAACAUCACGAUGGGAAUGAUCCUUAGUGAUCCGUAGCAUUUUCUGACUGCGAUGAAGGGAUUUUAAGAGUGUUCUUGGCAAGUCACGGGCAUGAAUAGACUUCAUACACGUCCGACGACUGCAGUUAUCCCUGCGGAUGUUCAGUCCCCCUCUUUGGUGGAGGGAGGUGGACAAGAGGCCUCUUGGACUCAGCUGGCAUGACUCUGGCAGGCUUGGCUUUCUUCAACAGACAUUACAGUUCCUCGUGGACAUUUCUGGCCCAAACCCUUAGCUGGCCAUUCCUUCCAGGUCCCUGGUCAUUUUGGGGAAAUGGUAUUUAGACACAAUUCAGGUGCUGGGGGGGUGCUCACUGUCAUCAUGGUGAUUUUUGUUAUUUGGACUUUUCAAUAGUCAGAGGCAGGAAAUGCAAACAUAAAGUACAAAGACUACAUUCCUCAUGAAUCCAACUGCCACUUGUAAUUCAAAUUCCAUAUAUAUAUAAAGCUUUUCCUCUCUCUUAUUUUGGGGGUGGUGGGAUAGGGUACCGGGGAUUGAACUCAGGGGCUCUCAACCACUGAGC